rnacentral:snoRNA from 1 species
UCCUUCAUUGAAAUGUUCCUUCACGAGUGAACCAGAGUAUUCUAGAAACCCUGCCAGAGUGAGGCUUUUUUAUUUUAGGCUUGUGCCCCCAGCACUUCUGAACAUGC